GGAUUAGUGGCGAACGGGUGAGUAACACGUGGGCAAUCUGCCCUGCACUCUGGGACAAGCCCUGGAAACGGGGUCUAAUACCGGAUAUGACCACCGACCGCAUGGUCUGGUGGUGGAAAGCUCCGGCGGUGCAGGAUGAGCCCGCGGCCUAUCAGCUUGUUGGUGGGGUGAUGGCCUACCAAGGCGACGACGGGUAGCCGGCCUGAGAGGGCGACCGGCCACACUGGGACUGAGACACGGCCCAGACUCCUACGGGAGGCAGCAGUGGGGAAUAUUGCACAAUGGGCGAAAGCCUGAUGCAGCGACGCCGCGUGAGGGAUGACGGCCUUCGGGUUGUAAACCUCUUUCAGCAGGGAAGAAGCGAAAGUGACGGUACCUGCAGAAGAAGCGCCGGCUAACUACGUGCCAGCAGCCGCGGUAAUACGUAGGGCGCGAGCGUUGUCCGGAAUUAUUGGGCGUAAAGAGCUCGUAGGCGGCUUGUCACGUCGGAUGUGAAAGCCCGGGGCUUAACCCCGGGUCUGCAUUCGAUACGGGCAGGCUAGAGUUCGGUAGGGGAGAUCGGAAUUCCUGGUGUAGCGGUGAAAUGCGCAGAUAUCAGGAGGAACACCGGUGGCGAAGGCGGAUCUCUGGGCCGAUACUGACGCUGAGGAGCGAAAGCGUGGGGAGCGAACAGGAUUAGAUACCCUGGUAGUCCACGCCGUAAACGUUGGGAACUAGGUGUGGGCGACAUUCCACGUUGUCCGUGCCGCAGCUAACGCAUUAAGUUCCCCGCCUGGGGAGUACGGCCGCAAGGCUAAAACUCAA
rnacentral:rRNA from 1 species